UGUAAGCGUAUACCAAAGUUGUUGCAGUUAAAACGCUCGUAGUCGGAAUUUGGCAGUUCCGGAUGUGUGCACGUCGUGUGCGCACUUCGCGGGGAUUGCUUUUGUGGUCUUGCGUAGGAUGAGGCACUUUUAUUAGUGAACGUCCUCACGCAACCACUUUUUACUGUGAGAAAAUAAGAGUGCUCAAAGCAGGCAUUUGCCGUGAAUGUAUUAGCAUGGAAUAAUAGAAUAGGACUUGGUUCUAUUUUGUUGGUUUGUUGGGACUGAGUAAUGAUUAAGAGGGACAGUUGGGGGCAUUUGUAUUUCGGUGCUAGAGGUGAAAUUCUUAGAUUACCGAAAGACAAACUGCUGCGAAAGCGUCUGCCAAGGAUGUUUUCAUUGA
rnacentral:rRNA from 1 species